ensembl:lincRNA Gm13589 predicted gene 13589
AGAGGCCCAUGGGAGCCUGGGAGAUUUAGCAUUGGACCGCUGUUCUAGUUGAGCCAGGGGAAGCUGGGAAUGGGGCUAGUGGUCAGAUGGUGCCUCGCGAGGGUAGCGGAGCUCAAGACUGUCUGAGGGGGUUUGGGGAGCCACUGAAGGUUCUUAAGCUGGAGAAAAACCUGAUUUGAAUCAUGCUCCAGCAAGGCUCCUCCAGGUGGGAGGAUCUGGCUUCUGGGAAACAGUCCCUGGCAGAGACCAGAGAAGAGAAGAGGAGGCCUGGCGAGGGCCCUGGCAGUGGUUAGGAAGCCUGCCUGUGGGGAUCUGGAGGUCCUGCAUCUUUCACCCAGCCAUGGGCCGCUUUAUUAAUCAACGAAGAAACCAUUGGAAACAGGACCUUAAGCACACACACCCACAUUCCCAAUCAAAGCAUCAGAACCACCCCUGACACCCAGGUUCUCUGCAAGAGCAACAAAUGUUCUUUCUUGCAGAGCCAGCUCUCCAGCCCCUCCUAUCUGUUUUUUCAGGAGACAAUGUGCCUCUUUUAAAAAAGCUUUUAAAAUAUUUUCUAUUAGAUGUUUUCUUCAUUUACAUUUUAAAUGUUAUCCCCUUUCCUAGUUUCCCCUCCAAAAAUCCCCUAUCCUCUCCCUGCUCCCUCUGCUCACUAACCCACCUACUCCUGCUUCCUGGUCCUGGCAUUCCCCUACACUGGGGUUUAGAGCCUUUACAGCACCAAGGAACUCUCCUCCCAUUAAUGAUUGAUAAGGCCAUCCUCUGCUACAUAUGUAACUGGAGCCAUGAGUCCUUCCAUGUGUACUCUUUGGUUGGUGGUUUAGUCCCUGGGAGCUCUGGCGGUACUGAUUGGUUCAUAUUGUUGUUUCUCCUAUGGGGCUGCAAACCCCUUCAGCUCCUUGGGUCUUUUCUCUAGCUCCUCUACUGGGGACCCUGUGCUCAAUCCAAUGGUUGGCUGAGAACAUCCACCUCUGUAUUUGUCAGGCACUGGCAGAGCCUCUCAGGAGACAGCUAUAUCGGGAUCCUGUCAGCAAGCACUUGUUGGCAUUCACAAUAGUCUGGGUUUGGUGACUGUAUAUGGGAUGGAUCCCCAGGUGGGGCAGUCUCUGGAUGGCCUUUCCUUCAGUCUCUGCUCCACAUCUUGACUCUGUAUCUCCUCCCAUGGGUAUUUUGUUCCCCCUUCAAAGAAUGACCAAAGUAUCCACACUUGGGUCUUCUUUCUUCUUGAGCUUCAUGUGAUCUCUGAAUUGUAUCUUGGGUAUUCUGAGCUUCUGGGCUAAUAUCCACUUAUCAGUGAGUGCAUAUCAUGUGUGUUCUUUUAUGAUCGGAUUACCUCACUCAGGAUGAUAUUUUCUAGUUCCAUCCAUUUGCCUAAGAACUUCAUAAAUUCAUUGUUUUUAAUAGCUGAGUAGUAUUCCAUUGUGUAAAUGUACCACAUUUUCUGUAUUCAUUCCUCUAUUGAGGGAUAUCUGGGUUCUUUCCAGCUUCUGGCUAUUAUAAAUAACGCUGCUAUGAACAUAGUGGAGCAUGUGUCCUUAUUACAUGUUGGAACAUCUUCUGGGUAUAUGCCCAGGAGUGUGCUUUUUAAAAAGGAAACCUUUUAUUACUUCUUUGUGGUUUUCACACCAUGUGCCCCAAUCCCACUCAUCUCCCCAUUUCUUAGUAUCUUCUCUGCCCUUGCAGCCUUUUCCUC